UUAGCACUCUGGACUCUGAAUCCA
rnacentral:piRNA from 5 species